rnacentral:lncRNA from 1 species
CGCAGCUCAUACACCUCUCACGACUCUCAGCUUCCGGUUGUUGUUGGUCGAACACGUGUGUUAUGUGUAUCACUAUAACGGCCAUGCGGGGAACUCGAGAUUGGCUACUUGUGCCAUGCCAACAUCAAAUUUGGAGCAAGUGGAAGUUCUUUCCAUUGAGUAUGUUGAGAACAUAGCCUGCAUCAGGAAGGUCCAGGAUAAGCAGGUGAUAGCAUGGAGGUGAUGAGAGAGGAGCAGGGAUAAAUUAAGCUGUUUAUGAGAAAGAUUGUCUACUCCUGCAAAAAGCUCAUUGUGUGACAAUGUUUUGCAUCUGAUAUACUGUAUCAGUGUGGAUUAAGGUGAAAUGUAGGAAAUGGAGCAUUAAUUAAAUAGAACUGCACCUUACAAGUUUUUUUGGUGCAGUGUGUUUUUGGUGUGGUUGAUGUCCCAAGAUGGCUUCGAGUAUCAUGUCAUACGACUUGGGAUCCAAUUUCAAAAGAUAUCAGCAUGUGGAAGAUGAAAACAUACAGGAUGUCAUGACCUGUAAAAGUUGUAAUGGGCUGCAGAAUUAGUGGCAGUUUGCUGUUGCUAAAGGGUAUUGUUUUCUGGGAAUACAAUGGACAAACAGAACAAGAUAAAUGUUUGUAGCCAAGUAGGCAUAUUGCCCAACCCUGAGCAACGAGAUAUGCUAGAAUUAUGAAACUUGUAUCAGUGAAUAGUGCCAUGGGAUCUUCUCAAACAAGUUGUGACAUUUGUAUAGAUAGUUGUGGUGUUCUGUCGGACAUGACAGAACAGACAAUACUCAUGAUAAAGCAGCUAGUGCAUUUGUAGUUUCACAGACUAUACAUAAUCAAAACAGAAAAAAGGAAACAACUAUCACAUGUUCAGAAGUAUUAAUAGUGCUAGUGGUAGUAAUAAUAAUAAUGAUUGCAGAUGAUAGUGCUGCCAUACGUCAGCUUUGUGUGUUGUCUAGAGGCUUUACUUUGUGCCAUAUCACAAGGUAUGGAGUGCAAUUGAAUGUUCGAGGAACAGAGUGGUGAGUUCCAAUUGAUGUUCUGGCCCCCAACCAGAUCUGACCCUGAUCGGACACAUGGGAUGUGACUGAACGUGGCGUCAGAGUUAGUCAUCUCCCUUCCUCAAAUUUACAGGAAUCUGGUGACUUGUAUGCAGAUGUGUGAACUCCCUCCAGCAACCUUCCUGUGUCUGAUUGCUUCCAUGGCACUAUGUGUCACUGCAGUUAUCUGUGCCAAAGGUGGACAAACCAUAUUGUAAACUGUAAAGUAAAAUUUUUUGUUACAUUGAAAAUGUACCACAACAGAAACGACAUCCAGAAAAUGGUAGAUAACUGGCAGCAAGCAGCUCAUGCACUCAUGAUAGCCCAUAAAGACACAAUGCCGAUGAAAGUGGACUCAACAAGGAGAUGACUGUGGGCCGCACUCUAGCACACAGAGGUGCUAAAGAUAUUGUAGGAGUUGUACAGUUUGUUCACGUGACAACUCAUACGUACAUAAUUACCGCAUCGCUUUCACAGAGGGGCAGACUUGCUCUAAAGCUUUUGUUGCACUUAAAGAGUCUCGUUCCUUGAGUAUUCAUGCAUGUCAGUCCAUGUUCCCAACACCAAAUUUAAUUGUCCACUCUCACUCCUCCAGCAAAAUGACCAAAGAACUGUUGAGGAUGUUUUUACAAGAAAUGGCAGAGGAAGAAAUCAGUGGAGAGAAACUUCUCCUUGUACUGGAAUCUUAAACCUUAACCAAAAUCGAUAUUUUGACAAACAUAACUGGAAUCGUGGGUCCAAAUGGACCCCUGAAUAAAAAUUCAACAUAAUCCCUAUAAAAGAUGAUAUUCAUAUGUAAAUAUGUAAUGAUUGUAUUAAAAUAAGUUUUGUUUCAAACAUAAA